CCUACGGGACGCACCAGUGGGGAAUAUUGCACAAUGGGCGCAAGCCUGAUGCAGCCAUGCCGCGUGUAUGAAGAAGGCCUUCGGGUUGUAAAGUACUUUCAGCGGGGAGGAAGGUGUUGAGGUUAAUAACCUCAGCAAUUGACGUUACCCGCAGAAUGAAGCACCGGCUAACUCCGUGCCAGCAGCCGCGGUAAUACGGAGGGUGCAAGCGUUAAUCGGAAUUACUGGGCGUAAAGCGCACGCAGGUAGUCUGUCAAGUCGGAUGUGAAAUCCCCGGGCUCAACCUGGGAACUGCAUUCGAAACUGGCAGGCUAGAGUCUUGUAGAGGGGGGUAGAAUUCCAGGUGUAGCGGUGAAAUGCGUAGAGAUCUGGAGGAACACCAGUGGCGAAGGCGGCCUGCUGGACAUUAACUGACGCUGAGGAGCGAAAGCGUGGGGAGCAAACAGGAUUAGAUACCCGGGUAGUC
rnacentral:rRNA from 1 species